UGCGCAGGCGGAAUGAUAAGUCAGUGGUGAAAGCCUACAGCUUAACUGUAGAAUUGCCAUUGAUACUGUCGUUCUUGAGUACAGUUGAAGUGGGCGGAAUGUGUCAUGUAGCGGUGAAAUGCAUAGAUAUGACACAGAACACCGAUAGCGAAGGCAGCUCACUAAGCUGAAACUGACGCUCAUGCACGAAAGCGUGGGGAGCAAACAGGAUUAGAUACCCUGGUAGUC
rnacentral:rRNA from 1 species